GGGGUGCAGCAGGCGCGAAAACUUUACAAUGCGGGAAACCGUGAUAAGGGGACACCGAGUGCCAGCAUCAUAUGCUGGCUGUCCAGGUGUGUAAAAUACACCUGUCAGCAAGGGCCGGGCAAGACCGGUGCCAGCCGCCGCGGUAACACCGGCGGCCCGAGUGGUGAUCGUGAUUAUUGGGUCUAAAGGGUCCGUAGCCGGUUUGGUCAGUCCUCCGGGAAAUCUGACGGCUCAACCGUUAGGCUUUCGGGGGAUACUGCCAGGCUUGGAACCGGGAGAGGUAAGAGGUACUACAGGGGUAGGAGUGAAAUCUUGUAAUCCCUGUGAGACCACCUGUGGCGAAGGCGUCUUACCAGAACGGGUUCGACGGUGAGGGACGAAAGCUGGGGGCACGAACCGGAUUAGAUACCCGGGUAGUCCCAGCCGUAAACGAUGCUCGCUAGGUGUCAGGCAUGGCGCGACCGUGUCUGGUGCCGCAGGGAAGCCGUGAAGCGAGCCACCUGGGAAGUACGGCCGCAAGGCUGAAACUUAAAGGAAUUGGCGGGGGAGCAC
rnacentral:rRNA from 1 species